rnacentral:rRNA from 1 species
UAGGGAAUCUUCGGCAAUGGGGGGAACCCUGACCGAGCAACGCCGCGUGAGUGAAGAAGGUUUUCGGAUCGUAAAGCUCUGUUGUUAAGGAAGAACGAGUGUGAGAAUGGAAAGUUCAUACUGUGACGGUACUUAACCAGAAAGGGACGGCUAACUACGUGCCAGCAGCCGCGGUAAUACGUAGGUCUCGAGCGUUGUCCGGAUUUAUUGGGCGUAAAGCGAGCGCAGGCGGUUAGAUAAGUCUGAAGUUAAAGGCAGGGGCUCAACCAUUGUAGGCUUUGGAAACUGUUUAACGUGAGUGCAGAAGGGGAGAGUGGAAUUCCAUGUGUAGCGGUGAAAUGCGUAGAUAUAUGGAAGAACACCGGUGGCGAAAGCGGCUCUCUGGUCUGUAACUGACGCUGAGGCUCGAAAGCGUGGGGAGCGAACAGG